rnacentral:rRNA from 1 species
CUGGCGACCGGCGCACGGGUGAGUAACACGUAUCCAACCUGCCGAUGACUCGGGGAUAGCCUUUCGAAAGAAAGAUUAAUACCCGAUGGUAUAAUCAGACCGCAUGGUCUUGUUAUUAAAGAAUUUCGGUUAUCGAUGGGGAUGCGUUCCAUUAGGCAGUUGGUGAGGUAACGGCUCACCAAACCUUCGAUGGAUAGGGGUUCUGAGAGGAAGGUCCCCCACAUUGGAACUGAGACACGGUCCAA